GGAUGCGCAGUCUGAUCCAUGCCGGUCGCAGAGGCACUAUGUUGGUUUUCUCAUGGCACGGCUCGAAUAAUACUGUUACAAAUGUACUGAAUGCCUUAACAAAAAUAGUUCACUAGUCAUAAAUGCCUUUAAAGUGCACUAACAGAUGCAUUAUGAGGUGCAACAUCAUCACGCAAAACUGCGGCUUAACUGAAAAAGAAACUAUUUGUAAACAAUUAUAAAUAUUUCAAUGAUUUAAUGAGUAAUCUGGCUAGAUGCAGUAUAAAAACCUAAAUAAUCCUAGGCAUUCUUUAGACUUUGCUUGUAAAAAUAACAGCGUGCUGUAACUGAAGUAUAACCUCGUUCAAGGACAUCUUGGUUUUAUUUUCUGUGCCAAAAUAUUCUUUGAUUAAUCUUGUGCAUAGAAGCGGACUGCUUGGUUCUGGUAUUAAUUAUACUCUUUGGAUUAUUUUCUUCUUUGAAAAUUAAGGAGAUGAAGCUGUGUGUUCUAGCAACCUUGCUGACUAUUCUGCUGAUCAGUCUGGAUUAUUCAGACGCACGGCGCGGUCCCCGUCUGUGUAAGAAAGACAACUAUGGAGUUUGUGUCGACAACGAUUUCAGCGGAUUCAGGGGAAGGAAUGGCUUCCGCGGAAGAUUUAGACCGUGUUCUGAAGCGAGGUCAGGACAUUUCUGCCAAAAUGUCGGCAGGGGGUGCCGUUGCAAAUUACCGAGGGGAAACAUAUUUGCUUCGAUAGGGCAGACCGGAUGAAGAGGAAGAUAUGAUAAGACAAAGCGUAAAUUGACCGCAGUGUUGUGCGUUGCUUGAUUUAUAAAUUGUAUUAUAUUUUAUAGUUAAACUAUACAUAAGUAACUGUAGAUGCUAACGAAACUGCACGGAGCUUAUCACAGUGACAACAAACGGAAUACACUUUCAAACUUUAUGGAGUUUAAAUUUUUAUAGUUCUUGACAAGAAUAGUAUUAGCAUUAGCACAUGUAUCAAUUAUAUGUAUAUAGUGAUGAUAUUUGGGAGAGUUAAAAUGCGAUCGUGCAAAAUGGUAUUCAUGGGUCAAAGUAAUUUUUAAUAUUUAAGUUGGACACUAAACCAGUGGUCUUUGAAGGCGAUGAUCUCUGUUCACAGGUGACAUUUAGCACAGAUUUUAGAAUAGUCAGUUACCACAUUAAAUUACGUGAAAUUUAUUUUCUUUUGCCCAAUAAACGCAACUUCUUUGUUGUGUUAGAUUCAA
rnacentral:lncRNA from 1 species